UGUGGGCGUGGCCACCCCGCUCACCAUCACCCCCUCCGCACACACACCUGCUCCCAAUCUGCUCAACUACUCUCAGGUAAACGCUGCUUGUCUUCGUUUCAAAUGAUUCAUGUGCAAAAUGCAGAAACGUUCACUUGAUUGGUCAGUAUUAUUUUCAAUGUCUGUUAUUUCUUGAGGACCCCCUAAAUUGUCUUUUUUAUUGUUUUCUUGAAAACAGAAAACUGUAAAAGUAAAUGGUCGGUUUUCAGAACUGUACCGCCUAAAUUGUCUUCCGAACGAGCUGCUUGAAAUAGCGUUUGAGGUCAAAUGUGUGACGAAAUCAUUGUGGUGCAAUUUGUUGGCUAAAAUGUCGUCUCCGUGUGACAUUUUUGGAGGAAUACGACCGCGCGUGUUGUUUUACGGCAUCCACACCGAUGCGAACGCGUCGGGCGGCCGCUCGUUUUCCCGCCCGGGUUCUCCUACGCUCUCGGCUCCCGACCUGCACGAGCCCGAGUAGCGCUCGUGGUACAGCACCGCAUUCUUUCCCGGGAAGGAGAGCAGGCAAGCCAUGCAAGGCGCCGCAACUGCAUCACACGCACGUUCCCCCAUAUGGCGGAUGGAUCGGGGAUGCAAGGAUGCGGCGGCUAAGAAGAAAAAGAAGUCCCAUAUGCGUGUCUGUUUCUCUUCAUUAGCUGACGGCCGGAACAGAAGUAGCUCCUCAUCUGCUUGACUGAAAUGAAAGACGGUAAACUCGUUUCGACGAGGACUCGCCGCCGCCGACAUCUGACAUUCCCUUGAGGGCAGCGUUUGCUUUUCAUACGUUUGAAACUGCAGGCUAGUAAAAGAUGAUGAUUGCCGUUUUGGUUUCUUUUUAUCCCAGAGACGGAGUUGCAACCGUUCACGCUUCAGCGGCUUCCAUUGUGUGGAGACCAAGCCGUUUUUCAGCCACACCCCCUUUUAAUCGCAUCAUGUUGCGAGUUAUUUUUCACAAUUUAGAAAGCGUUUCCAGGUGUUUUAAUAACAUUUCCUCGACAGGGUUGAGGUCAGGGUGCGUACGUGCCGCACGGACUCAUCGCCGCCACCAGGUGGACAACUUCGGCCGAUGCGAACCUGCUCAUCCAACAGCGCUCAAUGCAGCUCUGCUUACCUUUUGCCUGUUAGGCCAGAGAAGCAAAUAUUUGUAUGAAGGCAAUUAAAACAUCAAUUUUCCCUAUCAUGUCCCCUCUAAGCUUAAGAAUUGCUAACAUGCCAGCACACGCUUUUAUUUUUUUCUCCCAAGCAGAAAGCGAAGGGCCCCUACCCCCCCCCCCCCCCCCCUCCUCAACUCCUCCUUGGGCCACGAGGCGAGGAAUAAACUGAUCCCGUGUCAGACAUUCCCUGGAUAGUACAGCGUGGCCCGCGGCGCUAUUAAGGUUAAAGAGCAUUCUGGAGCGCUUCGAGAGGCGGCGGUGUGGGGAGGGAGGUGGGGGACCUGGAUGUUGUAGCUGUGAGGAAGCGAUGCCGGCAGAAGGGUGCGUCGGGGUGGGGGGGUGGCGGUGCGAGCGGAGCGCCCCUGUUCGCCCCUAGCCACCCUCCUCCGACUGCCAUCUGAUGUGAGGUAACAUGUGAGGGCGAGCAUCCAUCUGUCCGCGGUAUACGCGAGCAGAAGGUGCAGCUAAUGAGGCUUGAUUUGCCGCUGCACCUGCCUCCAAUCUGGGGGGUGAUGGUUGCGCAUGUGUGCAUGUGUGCCAGGGAUGCUCCAUCUCGCCAGCCGCCCCUCAACCCACACAAACCUCCAUCUACACCCCCACCCUCGUCCCUCCUCCCUCCAGGUGGAAUCCUUGCUGAGCUUGAAUGGGAGCGCCUGCAGGUGGAAGGAUCCUGGGAAUUCAUUAGGAAGUAGGUGAGACCCUGGGUUGAAAGCGCCUUUUGACCCGCCUCCCAAACACCGUUGCGUUACAAAAGCAGGAGAUUUCCGGAAAGGAAGAAGCAGCGCCGAAGCAAAGUUCUCCGUUAUCCCGUCUGACACGAGAGCUCUUCGGGGGCCGGUUAUUCCAGGCCAUUGAAUCCAGAUCAAAACCAGCCCAUUGGUGUUCCCUGCCUGCUUCUGUCUGGAAACCAAAACCCGGCGUGUGGCAUCCACCGCAAGCCGCAAAUAUGAGCUAAGUUAUUGGUGUUACAACGUCUGCGCCGAGAAGCACUUAGAGGAGGAGAUGAAAUGUAAAUCAAGGCCGCAGACAGAAGAACGGAUUGGCGGGAGAUUUGACACCAUGGCGACUGUUACUUAUUUACAGUUGAGCAGCCUCGUGUGAGGAAAAACAGAAUUCUGUCCAAAUGUCGAAAUUUCAAUUGAGUGGCUCACUAUAUGGCAUCCCUGCAGCCGUUUCCUGGGUUCUGUUUGUCGAGAGGGGAAAAUGAAUUGCAGCGUCAUCUUCAAAUAAAUCCAGCAACGGCCAAUAAAUCCCAGCCUCGUGUUGAAACCACGAGGCGGUUCCAUGGGAGACGGAAGGGGCGGCGGUGGGGAGGAGAAUGCCGAUUGUCUGACGGGAGUCAGACUCAUCUGUUUACUUACAGAUUCUCCCCACAAACUCCAGGUGUGGCCAUCUUGAUUGCCUGACCUGUGGCGUGUCCUCAAUCUACGCAAGUGCAGAAAACCCCAGUUUGUCGUGGGAAGUUUGUUCCAGACAACCGUGAUACGUGAAAAUAGUUACACUUGAAACAUAUUUCAAUGUAUGAACACUUGGAGACUUGUAUAACAUCACUUUGAGGAAAUGAAGACUGGCAGAACUGCAUCCCAUUGCGUAUAUGUGCAGGUGCAUUAUGAGUUGCAAAAUACCCCAACAGAGACAUCAGACUGUUGAGCAACUCAAGUUCUACAUCAAGCAUGAAUGGGAAAGAGUUUAACUUACAAAUCUACAUGUCCUCAGUUCCCAAAUGCUUAUUGAUGUUGGUUACUUAUGUAACACAUUGGUAAACAUGCCCCUGUGCCAGCGGUUUUCUGUGUUGCACGCAAGUUUAUCAGUUUGAACCUUAAAUAUCUCGUCUUUGCAGUGUAUUUAAUUGAGUAUAGGUUGAAAAUCCUUGUUGUUUUUGUUUUGCAGAAUGUCCCAACUACAUUGGUAUUGGAGUUUGUAUAUCUGAGAACCUUUUGUGCCGCUUUCUCUUAAUGAGGCUGCAUCUCUUCCAGUGGAGCUCAGUGCUGCCUGGCAUGUUCUGGCAUGCACAACAUGGUACAACACUGACGGUGUCUAGACGAGAUGAAGCUUUACAAUCGGAUGGGAACUUUUCGGUCCCGACGGAGCUCAGAUUGAAAAGGAUUAAAGUUUUCAAGUUGGCAAAGCAGAGUUGAACUGAGGAGGCGGUCAAACGAAUGCCGUCCCCUGAAACUAACCACAGUGAAGAGGCCAAAGUGAGUCAAGUGUGGUGAGAGAGUUUCAUGCUCACUGGCACGCUGGAGGAGAUCGUUGGCAGCCAAUUGUUCAUGAGGGGUUGGAUGCAGUGAACCCGUUAAAUGAGGACCAAGGAGGACAUUCAGGGUAGACCAGCGCUACUGAAAUUAUUCAUCCUUUUCCCAGUUCUGGGAAUGCUGCCAUGUUGGUCCCCCGGUGCAGCAGUGGAACCCACCCAAAAUUCGGUGUCGAACGGAGGCGAGCGGCCCAGCUCUCCCGUUGCUUUUAAUAACCCGGUGGCCGGCAUCCAGUUUCUGGCGAGCGCUGGGAUUGGCUGAUCCCUUCACACUCUGGCACCUGGAGCUAUAACCAUCAACAGCCACUGGGCCUCUCGCGCGCACAGAGAGCAGCUUGUUGGUGCGCUUCAGCCCACUGCCCGAGCGCGUGAAUGGGAAGUACGCGGCUGAAGCCGAGCCGGGUCUCCAAAGGCGGUCAGGGACCGACGCCGUGUGCCAAUAAAGCAGCUGGGCUUUUGACAGGCAGAGGCGCAGCAGCGUGGAAGGAAAGGGUGGAGGAGAUGGCGGAUCGGGCGACGCACCAGGAUAAUCGGUUUUUGCAGACAAAUUAGAAUCGUCUCUUUGCCAAUAGCGCCUACCUGAGGGAAGGAGCUGGAAGAGAAGGUGUUCAGGAUGUGGAGGCUCCAAGAGGAUUUUGCAUGCUCUGAGUUCUGGCAGCGUGCAAGUCGUCAAGGAACACAGGACUGAUUCGAUGCAGUGUAGAACUGCCUCAGCAGCUCCUGUGGCAGGCCGUGCUUCCUCAGAAGCCGCAGGAAGUACAUCCUCUGCUGGGCCUUUUUGAGGCUGGAGAUGUUGAUCUCCCCCUUCAGGUCCUGAGAGACUAAUUCCCAGGAAGUUGAAGGUCUCCCCCUUCAGGUCCUGAGAGACUAAUUCCCAGGAAGUUGAAGGUCUCGACAGUUGGGCAGCUGUGGGGAAGGAUGCCUCCUGAAGUCCACGAUCAUCUCUCCAGUCUUGAGCUUGUUCAGCUCCAGGUUGUAGGCUGCAGCACCGCUCUGGCCGCUCCACGUCGUCGAUCCGCAGACUCGUCAACGUCUUUGAGGCCGAUGGAUCGACGGGAACGCCAAUCUGCAUCCUCUUGCGGAGCGUCACUUGGAUGCCGGUGCGCUUCCCCCUUCUUUGCCUCCAUGCACCACAGAUCGCAGCUGCCCUCCCAGUGAGUCACUGAGGAGAAAAAUGAGCGGAUUUGCGAAAGUUGGAUGAACUCUCGGGAAGACUCCGUUUAGCAAGUCUUCCCUUGUCCUGGUCUGUGUUGAAGAACGGGUUGUGGUGCACUAUGGGAAACGAGGAACCAAGAUCCACGAGGACGAGGGUUUGGAGAUGAGCCGGAUGAAGGCCGGGCAAGGGAAGAUAACAAAGUUGACACACCAAUGGAACAGG